rnacentral:lncRNA from 1 species
GGCCACGCCCAUGUGAACAGACAUUGGUUGAGAAUUAUGAAACACGCCCUUCUCUCCCCCACUACAAAAGCCCGUUGACGGAAGUCAAACUUUUGUUCCCGACGACAUGAGUCCUGAUGUCCAUACGUUUUAAAAGGGCUAAUUUCAACUACAACCUAACAAAAUUAACUUUAGUUCCCGAUGACGUGAGGACUGGUGUCCAUACAUUUAAAAGGGCUAAUUUCAACGUGGAGGUGAUGAUCACCACGCGGGAAUGGUGAAUUUCGACUAGACCAGCCAGAAUAUAGCACGAACUGAGUAUGGCAACUUGGUAUGAACUUUGAACUUUUAUUCAUUAAAGAAGUGAUAACUCAACUUCUACUGUAGGAUGUAUCAGCAGCAGCUGUAAACAUACGUGGCCUAGGAAAGGACAGACAAUCUCCUGAGAAGACAGGGUACAACAUAUUCACACUACAACACAACAGCAAGAGAUUCUACAAAGGACAAGGGCGUUCUCUGCUGGGCAAACCAGUCUUCCAUCUUCGACUCAUCUAUCGAAGCGCAGCUCAGUGACACUCCAGGAACUCAGGCUCAUGAUCCCAUCACAAUUGCAACAUCGUCGUCCUUCUACACACCGUUCUUCACGGGUCAGACACUGGGCACCAACUACACCAGGAAUUAUCUUCAGGUAUUCAACCUGAACAUCCGUCGUCAACCCUGAGAUGACUCCUUCGACAGAUGAUCUACUCCGAAGUUCAAAUCACAAAACUUCUGUUGUCUGGAUUCUUUUGGGGCCCACUGCAAUCUUCCUCUGCUCUUCAGAAUUACAAUGAGUCAAAAUAUGACCACUCCUGGUCACUCUGACAGACUUCACUUUUCCAAGCGCAUACUUCACCAAGUUCAUCCAAUGUCAAUUGCAUGAACUUGACAAAAUCAUGUGAUCAUAGGUCAUGAAGUUGGUUCAACGUAAUUUUAUAAAAAUUACGUGGAAACAACUUUGAUUCUACCAGUGUGUGCCCAGUGAGUAUUGUGAACCAAGGGUGUUUUUGUUUGACCCAUGUGAACGUGACCAAAGACAUGACAAAUAGGAACCAACUUUGCUGCAAUUCAUGAAUACAGUGGAUAUGUGCAGAUUAAUGUGAUAUUUGAGGUUCUCUCUCACCAAUUCAUUGUACACAUAUAUUUUUCAGUGUGUCAUGUCCUGACCAUAGAGAGCUCUUAUUUUCUAUGGUAGAGUAGGUCAGGGCGUGACUGGGGGGGUUUAUCUAGUUUAAUGUUGUUUGGUUGUAGUUUCUUUUUUCUAUGUUGGGGUUUUUGUAUAAUCCCCAAUUAGAGGCAGCUGGACAUCAUUGUCUCUAAUUGGGGAUCAUAUUUAAGUAGUUGUUUUUCCCACUUGUGUUUGUGGGAGAUUAUUUUGAGUUAGUGCAUGUAGCACCUCUGUCGUCGUGGUUUGUUUAUAGUUUAUUGUUUGUCUUGCAAAGUUUCACAUUAAAAUAAAAGAUGUGGAACGAUACCCACGCUGCGCCUUGCUCUCCUUCCUACGACGAUUGUGACAGUGUGUGAUAUAGGAGUUGGAGACGUUUAUUUCGACUUUUUAAAGAAUAAUUUGUAUAAACAAUGGCAACACUGCCAUGUUGUGCUAAGCCUUGCUGUUGUCUUAGGUCUCUACUUAUGUAGUGUUGUGUUGUCUCUCUUGUCCUGAUGUGUGUUUUGUCCUAUAUUGAUAUUUUAAUUUUUUUAUUUUUAAUCCCAGCCCCCGUCCCCGCAGGAGGCCUUUUGCCUUUUGGUAGGCCGUCAUUAGAAAUAAGAAUUUGUUCUUAACUGACUUGCCUAGUUAAAUAAAAUAAAUAAAUAAAAUGUUGGAAAAC